AUUUUCUAAACUAAUUUUUUUCAACAAACAAAUAAAACUUUAAAGAAAAUGGUAUGAUUAAACACCCUAAAUCUUCUAACUAAUUUCUGGUAAGUUUAUUUUUAUCUCCAGCAUCAAUAAUUGUUUUCCUUUUUUUUUUUUCUAGCUUCGUUGUUUUUGGUUGUUAGUUGCCUCUAGAAAGGGGCUUCGUGCCUCCUUCCAAUUGAGGAAUGUGGGUGGUCGUGGCCCCUUAGGUUUCCCUCUGAGAUCCAAUCAUUUACCAUCCCGCCUAUCGUUUUCAGUUUUUUCAAAUAUAAUAACACGUCAUUGCUGGUCUUUUGGUCAUCAGAAAUGCAUUUUGCUUCCCCCUCAGUCAUGGGUGUUGUUCAAAAUUUUUCUAUUGCAGUUGUUGCUGUAGCCAAUCCUGUGCUUGUUGAAGGCGCCAUUGUUGGCGGAUUUGGUGCCUAUAGGGUCAUUUUGACCUUGACGAGUCUUGAUUGAUUUUCUUUGGGCUCCUUUUACAUCACCACAAGGGAGAGGGCUUUGGUCUAGUGCCCUAUUGCAUCAUAAUAACUUUACUCACAUGAGUCUUCCCUGACCCCCACGUUAUCCGAUUCAAGUGAAGGUUGUUUUAGGAUUUCUGACCUCUUGAACCCUAAAUGUAGAAGAUUCUUAUUAAACCACCGUGUGAAAAACAAGGUUCUUCAACAAUGAUGUUUUGAAGGAAUCAAAGAAAGGUAAGGUAUAUUGGAUUCUCCGAAAAAUAAAAAAUAUAUAUUUACCAAUCGUUUUUGAGUGACUUGUGAGUCACGGCGGGGUGAGAGUAACACCUUUUUUCACCCCAAAAAGACAAAGGUUUCAGCCUUCACGUGAGUCCAUCAAAGUUGAAAUUUCCUUUUAGACGACACAGCGCAUUCCAUUACGCCAUCUGCAAUGUCGUUUGUCCACCAAACACUCCACCUUUCUUUCUUUCGCCAAAAUACAAUAUUUAACCAGACUUUGAUUCUGUCCUCAGUUGUUGAGAAUUUUAGAUGGCUUCUUCCAUCACCUAUUUAUGAAAUUCAGGCUUAAACGUAAGGUUAGAAGUUUUGAAAAUUAAAUUAUUAUUUCUUUUUAAAUUUCAUAUUUAGUUUUAGGACCCUUUGGAUGGACAUUUACUUUCAGUGUAAUGCAUUUAGCUUUUUUUUUCACGCUACAAUAUAUCACAUUAUUUUUACACUAAUCACAGGUAAACACACUAUUCAUUCAAAGAGGCCCUUAAUCUACUUUUUUAGUCCAUGUUUAAAUGUUCGCUUUUUGCUAAGUAACUUUGAUUUUGGUUGUAAUUGAUAGAAC
rnacentral:lncRNA from 1 species